rnacentral:tmRNA from 14 species
CUGGCUUCGACGCCGGUGGCGAACCCUUGAGUGCAUGUCGAGAUGGCAGCCAAUCUCGUUAAUCCAAAGCUGCAACGCAAUAGUCGCAAACGACGAAAACUACGCACUAGCAGCGUAAGCUGCUAGUCGUCCUGACCGGGUCGCCCGUAGCCCGGAAGCAACAUCUCAGGACGUCAUCGCUUACGGGAUGCUCCGUUACCCAGAGUUCACUGGUUAACGGCUAAGAUUUAAAG